AGGACUGUGACCACUGCUGUUGACAAGACUGCUCCCAUCACUUGGACAGGACUGUGUCCACCACUCCGACCAACAGGAUUUCCUACUCCCAAACCUUGGCCAGAUGGAGGAGGACGCUGUGAGGAAGAGGAAGAUGCCCCGGAACACCCAGGCAGACAAGGAGCUGAGGACAGAGCCCAGGGAGGACAAAUCCCCGCGGCAGAACCUGGUGGAAGAGGCCAUUUUGAGUAGCUCCACAUCGCAGGAAUCCAGCUGGGAGGAAAACCACCGGAGAUCCCACAGGAGGAGGGGCUGCAAACACAGCCCAGGGAGCUGUGAG